AGGUCCCUUUUCUCUGCUAGGGUUCCAGGCCUAGCCUUGGAACCCCGCCGCCGUCACGCCUCCCCUGCCUGGUGGCCAGAGCCAUGCAAGGGCGCCUUCUAGCCGCGCGUUGAAGCGUGUUCUGAGAUCGGGGCUAUGGAACAAGGAAACGAGGGGAAGAACAAAAGCUUUAGCCCCUCCCUAUACCCAUGUCCGGCGACGACGAAGGACCAUCGACGGCAGGCCUAAGGGCCGAUUCAGGUAACCCCUUUUCUUUUUAUUUUCUUUGCUAAUUAUUUUAAAAUCAGUUUGUAAAAAAAAAUAAAUACGCAAAAAAUAAAGAAAAAUGAAGAGAAAGCAAUUCAAUUCAACAUUUUCUAAUCUUGUUUUCUGUUUUUUAUUCCAAUAUAUGUGUGUUCGUAAAAAAAAAAAACUACAACGAUAGCAUCUUGGCCUUUAUAGCCACGUUACAACCCUUUGAUUUCUAUUUUCUUUGUCGUUUUGUUGUUUGGUUUGUUCUGCUGUUGCGUGUAGUCUUGGUUUGCAGGUGUCAGGAGGUUGGUGAUUGGCGAGUGGCAGCGGUGUGCGGUGGUGGGCGUGUGCAGAAGGUGGCAGCAGCAACAUGCGGCUAGGGUUUCUCUUUGUGUUUGAAAGCUGGUGUAAUUUGCGCCAUUUGGGUUUAGGGUUAAUUUUGGGUAGUGGGCUGGUAUUGUAAUUUGGGCUUGUGGGUUCUGAUGGACUGUAAUUUUUUAUUUAUUUUUGGGUUGGUUGGUUUUGCUAGUGGGCCGGGCAGAAAAUGGGUCUUACAAUAACAAUAUAUCAAAUUUUUACAAUUUAAU
rnacentral:lncRNA from 1 species